GACAGAGGUGCCAAGCGUUAGGCGGAAUCACUGGGCUUAAAGCGUGUGUAGGCGGAUGUCUAAGUACCUUGUGAAAUCCCACGGCUUAACCGUGGAACUGCUGGGUAUACUGGAUGUCUUGAGCCAGCUAGGGGCUACCGGAACAAAUGGUGGAGCGGUGAAAUGCGUAGAUAUCAUUUGGAACGCCAAUGGUGAAAACAGGUAGCUGGGGCUGUGCUGACGCUGAGACACGAAAGCCAGGGGAGCGAACGGG
rnacentral:rRNA from 1 species